rnacentral:rRNA from 1 species
CGGAGGGUGCAAGCGUUAUCCGGAUUUACUGGGUUUAAAGGGUGCGUAGGUGGGUCUGUAAGUCAGUGGUGAAAUCUCCGGGCUUAACCCGGAAACUGCCAUUGAUACUAUAGGUCUUGAAUACUCUGGAGGUAAGCGGAAUAUGUCAUGUAGCGGUGAAAUGCUUAGAUAUGACAUAGAACACCAAUUGCGAAGGCAGCUUACUACGGGGUCAUUGACACUGAGGCACGAAAGCGUGGGGAUCAAACAGGAUUAGAUACCCUGGUAGUCCACGCCCUAAACGAUGGAUACUCGACAUCAGCGAUACACUGUUGGUGUCUGAGCGAAAGCAUUAAGUACUCCCACCUGGGAAGUACGAUCGCAAGAUUG